AUGUCCUGGCUAUUGUAAAUAGUGCUGCAGUGAACGUUGUGGUACAUGACUCUUUUUGAAUUAUGGUUUUCUCAGGGUAUAUGCCCAGUAGUGGGAUUGCUGGGUCAUAUGGUAGUUCUAUUUUUAGUUUUUUAAGGAACCUCCAUACUGUUCUCCAUAGUGGCUGUAUCAAUUUACAUUCCCACCAACAGUGCAAGAGGGUUCCCUUUUCUCCACACCCUCUCCAGCAUUUAUUAUUUGUAGUUUUUUUUUUUUUUUUUGGCUGUAUGCGGGCUCUCACUGUUGUGGCCUCUCCCGUUGCGGAGCACAGGCUCCGGACGCACAGGCUCAGCGGCCAUGGCUCAUGGGCCCAGCCGCUCCGUGGCAUGUGGGAUCCUCCCAGACCGGGGCACGAACCCAUGUCCCCUGCAUCGGCAGGCGGACUCUCAACCACUGCGCCACCAGGGAAGCCCUAUUUGUAGAUUUUUUGAUGAUGACCAUUCUGACUGAUGUGAGGUGAUACCUCAUUGUAGUUUUGAUUUGCAUUUCUCUAAUGAUUAGUGAUGUUGAGCAUUGUUUCAUGUGUUUGUUGGCUAUCUGUAUAUCUUCUUUGGAGAAAUGUCUAUUUAGGUCUUCUGCCCACUUUUGGACUGGGUUGUUUGUUUUUUGAUAUUGAGCUGCAUGAGCUGCUUGUAAAGUUUGGAGAUUAAUCCUUUGUCAGUUGCUUCAUUUGCAAAUAUUUUCUCCCACUCUGAGUGUUGUCUUGUCAUCUUGUUUAUGGUUUCCUUUGCUGUGCAAAAGCAUUUUAAGUUUCAUUAGGUCCCAUUUGUUUAUUUUUGUUUUUAUUUCCAUUUCUGUAGGACGUGGGUCAAAAAGGAUCUUGCUGUGAUUUAUGUCAUAGAGUGUUCUGCCUAUGUUUUCCUCUAAGAGUUUAAUAGUGUCUGGCCUUACAUUUAGGUCUUUAAUCCAUUUUGAGUUUAUUUUUGUGUAUGGUGUUAGGGAGUGUUCUAAUUUCAGGCUUUUACAUGUAUCUGUCCAGUUUUCCCAGCACCACUUAUUGAAGAGGCUGUCUUUUCUCUAUUGUAUAUUCCUGCCUCCUUUAUCAAAAAUAAGGUGACCAUAUGUGUGUGGGUUUAUCUCUGGGCUUUCUAUCCUGUUCCAUUGGUCUAUAUUUCUGUUUUUGUGCCAGUACCAUACUGUUUUGAUUACUGUAGCUUUGUAGUAUAGUCUGAAGUCAGGGAGCCUGAUUCCUCCAGCUCCGUUUUUCUUUCUCAAGAUUGCUUUGGCUAUUCAGGGUCUUUUGUGUUUCCAUACAAAUUGUGAAUUUUUUUGUUCUAGUUCUGUGAAAAAUGCCAGUAGUAGUUUGAUAGGGAUUUUUUUUUUUUGCUUUUUAUAUUUUAAAUAAUCAUAUGAAAAUUGUUAUUACUACCUGGUGCUAAAAAAAGUAGAAACAAUUUUAAUAUAAUGAAGAACUUUAUAAUGUCUAAAAUUUUAUUUAGUUAUAUGGGAAUAGAAUCCCCCUGUUAGAACAUAACUCUUACUCUCAAGUUAUAUAUAUCUAACUUGCUUAGAUGUUUUUAAGAAUGAUUUUUUAUGAAAGUUAGGAAUACCUAUACAUGUGAUACAGUCAUUGGAACAGUGAUAAGAGCAUGGGGUUUGGAAUCAUUCCCUUGGUUACAGUUUUCAUUCUAUUAUUAACUGAGCAAGAGAUAUACCCUGAGCCUCAGUUUUGUGUUUGUUUUUGCUUUUAAAUAAAUUUUGGGGGUGUUUUUGUUUGUUUGUUUCUUAAUCUGUAAACUGAUGGGAUUAAAAACAAUAUUUAUUUCACAGACUGAUUGUGAAGAUCAAGAGAGACAAUGGAUAUGAAAAAAUUUGUUAAUUACAGAGUACAAACAUUAAGUAGUUAUCAUUGUAUCCUAUUUCUAAAGUGAUAAUUUGGGUUCCAUGAACAUCCCUCCCCCUGCCCCAAAAUUAUAUGCAAACUCGAAUGUGUUUAUACCUGUAUCACUUACUAUUAGGUUCAGCUGUGAGUGACAGAACACCAAGUAACUGACCUAACAAAAUGUAAGUCCACUUUCCUCUCAAAUUAUACAAACUCCAGAGAUAAGCCAUCCAGGACAGGUAUGGCAGUUCCACAAUCAUCAGCGGCCCAAGCUCCUUCCCUCUUGUUGUUUUGCUUUACUAAGCCUCUGGUUUUCUCCUCAUAGUCCAGAAUGACAGCUUAAACACUUAAGCCAGCAAUAAAGAUGAAAGUGGGGAGGAAGUGGAAGAAGGCCAUGAUCCCUGCCUUUAAGAACACUUCCUGGAAGUUGAACAUGACACUUAAGCUUGUAUCUCAUUGAAUUUAGUCACAUGGCCACACCUCACUUGAAGAGCAGCUAAGAAAUGUAGUCUUUUUUCUAAGGCAUCCAUUACUAAGCAAGAAGGGAGAGUACUUAGAGGAAGAAUCGUCUGUGUCUGUAUUAAAAUGGAUAUGUAUUUCAAAUACAGCUUUCAUCAGAAUCUUAAAGAGAUCUAUUAUAAUUUAUAAACAUUAAAAAAACACACUGUUUCAAAGCAGAAUCAGCCGUUUGCUAUGUAAACAUAUAGAUUAGGGAUAUCUUUCUAGAUCAUCAUCAGUCUGUGCUGUGAGCAGGAGCAUAGGAGAUAAUCAGUAAGCAUAGGUUUGGUGCUGUCGUAUAUAGCAUCAAAACCAUUUGAUAAUGUUGGUUUCUUAUUUUAAUUUACCCUCUUAAAUCAAUCACUUUACAUAUCAUAAGUCAAUGACUUCUUUUUCAUGCACUCUACUGAUGAUGUAUUACUUAAAAGAUUCUUAAGCAAUUUAAAAUUUAAUCUGUACACUCUUCUUCUUUCAUCAUUUUGGAUACUAAUCACGAUUCUUUUUGAGAAUUAAUUGACUUUUACUUUUCAUAAUUAAUUUAAUUUCAAAUUUAUAAAGUCUAGUGAGUAUCUUUCUUAGUUUAAUUGAAUUUUUCUUUUAAUGCUUUUACUUUGUACAGAUCAUCUGAUCUUAUUGUUUAUACCUCAUUUUAAGUAACGCAUGUUAAGCAACACAUAAACUGUCAAAAAUUCUAAUUUAAUUCAUUUCAGAAGUAAACAACUGACAAAACCAACUCAGAAGAAGUAAACAUUUAUUAGACAUUCUAAUGGUUUUGUUUUUAUUGUGCAUAGUCUUUGCUUAUGUAGAAAUGUGUAACUAUAAAUGGUUAGGUUAUUUAUUUUAAUGAAUUUCUACUAAGAAUUUUUCUCUCUUUAGAAACAAGUCAGAUGUGAACAUUAAACACAUGACCAAAAAAAAGAAGAAAAAAGUCUUACUAAUGUAAUUGUCAAAGUAAAAAUAUGUCAGGAUUUUUUUAAGUAUUAAAAAUAGUUAAUUAUGCAGCCAUUUAAACUUGAUUGAUAAAGAAAGAUGUAUAUGCAUAUUGUUAAAGUAGAAAGGAACGUUACAAAGCUAGUAUGUCUGAUAUAUUUUUUUAAAUAUUUAAGUGUCAGGGGAAAACAAUCUCUAACAGUAUACACCAGCUACCAACCAUUUAAUAGCAUCUAUCUGUGGAUGAUGGGAUUAAAGGUGAUUUUUUACUUUCUAGAGUAUUCCUUUCCAUGUUGUAUGGAUUUAUAUAGUAUCAUGUUGCAUUGCUUUUAUUACCAGGCUAAAAAAAAACAAACUAGCAAGCUUUCCCCUUUUUGAAGAAAAGUUAGUUAUAAUAAAAUGAAUAAACAGAGGUAGCAUUUUGGGGGGUUUUUUCCCACUGCAGAACUCUAUCUUUAAAAAUAAAAAAGUCAUAGUGCUCGCUUCGGCAGCACAUGUACUAAAAUAAUAAUAAUAAUUUUUUUUUAAAGUCACUUAGAAGGUAAAAUUAUGUACCCAUAACUGAGUACUACAGUUUUAAAGCAUAGCAUUUGGGAAAUUUCACAGCAAACUUGAUAUAUGGCUGCUUUUGCUGAAGAAACGUCUUUGCCUUGUCUGUGCUGGGCUGAUAGCUACACUGAAUUGCAAUGAGAUAUGAAGUAGAGUAAAUCAUUGUGAAUUCGGAAUUUAGUCUCCUGGAUCUCCUUCCCUUCAGAGUCACUGACUCAGUGUUAAUGAGGAUGUGUGUGUGUUACUUAUCUCAAGGUGUGAGAUUAGCAAAUGACUGCGGGGCAAAUCAGUAAAGCUUUUGUGCUCUGUGAAAGCAAGAAUAAACCAGCUAUUUUAACCCAAGCCCAGGCAUUCCUUUCUCUGGAUUCCCUAGCGGAUCCUUCAGCUGAAUUUGAGCCUUAUAAUAAAGCCACUUUCUGUGCUUCUCUGUGCAUGUUGAGAAUCCUGCCAAAGCCUUCUAUGAGGUAUCUGUGAAUUUCUCCUGGGAGAACACCACACAGUGUCCUUGGCUUCCUGCUCUAAAUGAUCCACUCCAAUGACACACUGUAAUCCUACUCAAGGUAGGGAGAAUGAGCUGCCAAAACCUAUUUAUCACUUUGCUGGCCUUGAAACAUGCACAUCUGUCUAAAGUUAAACAAGGGUCAUAGGAAGAGCUUUUCUUUUUCCCCCGCCUCGCCAACACUAGUAUCUUGUAUAAAGAUUAAAAUAAAUUGUGCAGUGUUUCACUGCAUUGGUCUUCUCACCCUACAAAGUGCCAUUCUUUAAAGAUGUAUAAAAGAGUGAAUUUGGGGAAAUAGAUGUUUGCAGUUUCACAAAUAAAUAUUGAAUAUCCAGAGCUAGGAGGCAUUGGUUAAAUAGAUGAUGGUUAUCCAUUAAAAUGGAAUAUUAUGCUACCAUUAAAAAUAAUGUUGAAGAAUACUUAAUGAAGUACACAAAUGGCUAUUGAAUGGAUAACCAUCACCUUUUUAACCAAAAUAAUACGUAGAAUAUUAUCCCAUUUUUGUUUUUAAAAAUUAAAAAUAUAUACACAGGAAAAAGUGUGGAAAGAUAUGUACCAAUAAACUUUUUGUAGUUACUUUUGAGUGGAAGAAUUAUGUUUGAAUUUUCCCUUCUUCUCUUUUCUUUCUCAUUUUCUUUUUUCUUUUUUUCAUCAAUAUUUAUUAACUUUUCUACUUUUGAAACAAACUACAAAGUCAUUUAAAAUAGGUUUAUUAGGGCUUCCCUGGUGGCACAGUGGUUGAGAGUCCGCCUGCCGAUGCAGGGGACACGGGUUCGUGCCCCGGUCUGGGAGGAUCCCACGUGCCACGGAGCGGCUGGGCCCAUGAGCCAUGGCCGCUGAGCCUGCACAUCCAGAGCCUGUGCUCCGCAACAGGAGAGGCCACAGCAGUGAGAGGCCCGCGUACCGCAAAAAAAAAAAAAAAAAAAAAAAAGGUUUAUUAGUGUUGAUCCUUAUCUAAAAUAGAAAAUUUGCCAAUUAAUAUGAAACAAAGGGGACAGAUUUUAGAGCAUUUUAUUUCUGGCAGUUAAAUUUAUAUUUUUUAAAAGACACUUUAGAAACUGUGGAGAGGGAGCAGAGGGCAAUACAGGAACUCCCUGUACUUCCCACUCAAUUUUCCUCUAAACCUAAAACUUCUCUAAAAAUAAAAUCUAUUAAUAAAAAUUUUAAAAGCCCCUUUACACUUGUUCUACUUGGCCAUCUUUUAUUUUCUCACCAUCACAGGUUAUGUUGGUAAGCACAAGUUACAUUAAUACUUGACUUUUUACAAGCCAUAGGGCAGUGUUUAUGAGCAAGAUGGUUCUAACUGUAGUCCGGAGAAUGGUAAAGGCUCGCUGAAUAUUCUGUAGACUGUUAGGAUCUGAUAUUCUGGAUUUCUUGGCCUCUUAAACCUCAAACACUAUCAGCCCCCUUCCACUCCUAGCCAUAGAACAAAGCAGAUUCCGUACCCCCUGGAUUCCCAUAGGCAUUAGUGAUGACCCCUACCCUCAGGGAUCUGUCAUCAGUGGCCCUGCUGUGAAAUCAGUUCAGUGCACAUCCCUGCUCUGAAAGUUUGCCACCGUGCUGUUCCAGCCACUCUUUUGGUUAAGACCCACUUCCAGAAAGCCCGUAUUGAAGUGCAAGUGUGAAUGAAUACUGACCAUAUUGACCAAAAGGAAGGUGUGAGGUCCAGGGUGAGUAAAGCAUGUGAAGAUGACUGAGGGAACUAGAAGGCUAUGAUAUAUAGUAUUGACUUGCUCCAUGUUCUCAGUAGCAUGAGCUGCAGAGAGAAGAAAGAGGGAAGAAGGUAGAAGGGGACCAAGUAAGACAGAGUGAGGGGGAUACCACUGUCCUAUGCUUGCCUUGGGGUAGAAUUCUAGUCAUCAUUUUUACCUAACCAACCAACCAACUGCCUUACCAACCAACUGUAAUUACUUCUUCCCUUCCCUUUUGUCAUUCCAUAAACAUGCAUUAGACAUCUACUCUGUGCCCAACUCUGUGCUAGGUUCUGGGGUUGUAAGGUGAGAACAAGCAUCCAUGUCCUCUUUCCCUCAUGAGGCGUAUAGUCUAAUGGAAGGGAACUUAUCAAAUAACCACACAUAAAAAUGUCAAGUAACAGCUGUGCUAAGUGCUAUGGAGGAGAGGUACGCUGUUGUAGGAGGGUUGAACCUGGGAAGUCAGGCUAGACAUCCUCAAGGAAGUGACACUUCAGCUGAGCUCUGAAGGAUAAGUCAAGUGAAUGCAGGCAGCAUGAAGGGUUUUCCAGACAGAAGGAACAGCAUGUGCUAAAGCUUUGUCUAAUCUUGUUUGGAAGGGGGCUACUAGAGCACUGAGGAAAGCCUUCAGUUUUUAAUGUUCUGACUCUCAAACACCCCAAAAGACUCAUCCAGGUGCAAGCAAAUGUUCCUGUGAACCCAGUAUAUUCAUUUUUUGUGUUUUGCUUCAGCUAUAAAAUUUGUUUUUACAGCUGCACUUUCUGGUACAGAAUUUGAACACAUAUCAUAAAACGAAAGACUACAAAUGUUGAUUGUUCUGAUUUUGAUUGCUAAACGGCCAGUGUCACCCAGCAGUUACUUCAUCACCUUGAUAAUGUAAAAUAAGCACCAAAGGUCAGGCUCUCAAAUUUAGGUUGUCUUCAUAACAUGAUUCUCACACACUUUUUAAUUUGCUUCACGUUGCAGCUUUGAUUUUAGAUACAAGCCAAAUGAGACUGAGCUUUGCCCGCAAGUUGUUUUCUUUGUAAUAUUUUGAUAAGGUAAAGAGUUUUGUCAAGUGCUGUUUUUAAUGCUCGAAUUUAAAGACUUCAAAGACAAUUAGUCCUGGUCAGACCAUUCAUCUGUGAUUAUUUUCAUGGUGAAAUGGUAGUAUUAAAUCUCCUGAUGUUAAGGGAAUAAUUUUACUUCAAAGCAUAGUUCCAGAAUAUUCUGUCUGGUCUUGCCACAAGUUCAUGUUCCUUAAGGUUUUAUUCUUGUAAGAGCUAUUCAAUGAAUACAGUAGCAAGAAAAUGGAUGAAAAACAUAUGGUGUUCUUAUUCAGGGGUUCAGUUGAUCAUUUUCAUUUUUAAACCUUCAGUCAUCCACCUUAUUUAUUUCUCCAGUGUCUAGGGUUGUGUUGUGCAUGUAUUCAAACUGUUGAAAAAUGACAAAACAUAUAGUAUGGUAGUGGAAUGCAACAGGAAUCAUUACGAAGCCCUAAUUUUUUUAAGUUAGAAAGAAACCAAACUCUAUUUUGAUAAGACACAGUAACAGAAACCAAAUGGAAAGAGAAAAUUAUUAUUAAAUUAUUUUUCUAAGACAAAAAAUUUUGAAAUAGAGUGUCAGUGUUUUUGAAUAAUGUUGACCUAAAAGAUACUAUGACAUACUUUGAAGUGUGAUAUUAUUAGUAUAAAAGCAGAAUAACAGUUAAUGUCUUUAAAUAUGACUAAGUAUAGUUUAAGAAAAAUAAUAAAAUCUAUUAGAUGAACCAGAGUAUUAUUGAUGGUUUGCUAGGAUAGUUUCUCAGAAGGAUUGCAGAGAUUUUCCAUGCUUUCUCCUAAUCUGACUUAUUAUUUGUAUCAUAAAUGUUCUUCAGUAGAAGUAUUCAUUUUCUUUUCAGAUCUCCCUUUUAUAUUUGACCAAAGUUUAUCUCUGUUAUCUUUUUCCCUGGGUUACUUCACUGGUCUAUAUCCUUGAAUUAAUUUAUAUAUGGUAUAUAUAGUCCUAACUUGUAAGAGCCGUAUUGAAUCUACUCUGCUAACUGGUAUAAGCAAUCUAUGACCACUGCUAACUACAUGAUUGUCAUUUGUGUAAUAAUUAUUCUACUGAAAUCAUCUUCUGCUGAAAGUUUCCCUGCCACUCUCAAGGUAUCUGCUGCCAUGACUAGAGUUCUUUCCCCUCCCUUUCUCUAUAUUUUUCUGAUUGCUCCCCCCCUGCUUUUUUUGGCCUUCUGUAACUAUUGGAAAAACAAAUUGAUUAUUUUCUAAAAAGAAACAUGCUUGUGUAAGUAAGCUUGUAGAAGCACUCAUCCUAGUGGAAAAUUAGAGAUGGCUCCAAAUAAAAUAUUAAUAAUAUUUUAAUUAUAAAUAGUAAUUUAUUGAGCAUUUUUUAGUGUUUUUAUUUUUUAAUUUCUUUUUAUUUUGAGCAUCUUUUCAUGUGCCUGUUGGCCAUCUGCAUAUCUUCUUUUUUUUUAACAUCUUUAUUGGAGUAUAAUUGCUUUACAAUGGUGUGUUAGUUUCUGCUUUAUAAUAAAGUGAAUCAGUUACACAUAUACAUAUGUCCCCAUAUCUCUCCCCUCUUGUGUCUCCCUCCCACCCUCCCUAUCCCACCCCUCUAGGUGGUCACAAAGCACUGAGCUGAUCUCCCUGUGCUAUGUGGCUGCUUCCCACUAGCUAUCUAUUUUACAUUUGGUAGUGUAUAUAUGUCCAUGCUACUCUCUUACUUUGUCCCAUCUUACCCUUCCCCCUUCCCAUAUCCUCAAGGCCAUUCUCUAGUAGGUCUGCAUCUUUAUUCCCGUCUUGCCCCUAGGUUCUUCAUGACCUUUUUUUUUUUUUUUUUAGAUUCCAUAUAUAUGUGUUAGCAUACGGUAUUUGUUUU